CCGGGCGUGGUCGUUCCCAUUUCGUAUAUAAGACAGUACAAACUUAUCACAUUUAUCAUUGUGGUCACUCCUCAAAGUAAAACUUCAACAUGUUCUUCAGACUGUUCGCUCUCUUCGCCUUUCUGGCUGUGGCCUUCGCCAGCCCCAAGCCUGAGCCGCAAUUGCUGACCUACGCGGCCGCUCCCGGCGUUGUUCCCGUGGGAUACUCUGGAUACAGCCCUGUAGCCUACUCUGCGCCCUACGCUGCGUUACCUUACGCCUACAAUGGAUACUACGUUCGCUAAUCUUGAUAUACGACCGCUGCAAAAAAUAUGAUACCGAUACGCCAAAUUUGAUUUAAUUAUAGUUUUUACUGCAUCAUU
rnacentral:lncRNA from 1 species